UGGAGAACAAACAUGCUCAUGGAAAGCAUCUUUGGCUUCUUCUGCACCAUGUGUGUGUGUUUGUGUAUCUGCGAGACUUGUUGUUUGUUCUAACCUGGUGACGUGACAAAGCUGUGACUGAAAUUUACGACGGGAAGAAAACAAUAAUAUUAAAUGUUAUUUCAGCAAACAUUUAAAUGAGAUAUGUGAGAAGCCUCCCGAACAAAAAAGGGGCGAAAAGAGAGAAAACAGGAAACUGCAAAAACGGCACAGCCAGUAAAACUAACUUCCCAUGCCAUUUGCUCAUCGUCACCUCAGUGUGUGAGUACGGUCACGCCUGCUUGUUGCCUCUGAGAAGGGUCGAGACUCCCCCGCAGGGGGGGGUGUGGUGGGGAUGGAGGGCCAUCCUCCGCUGAUUUUCAUUUCCACGCUCACCAAACAGAGUCUGGGGGAAGAGACAGGCUGCUGUGCCGGUGCCCGCCUGGUGACCAGAUGAAGGCUCUGGGGUUCAGCAUCCCCUCGUAGCUCUGCAUAUGCAAGCGCGACAGGACAGGCGUGAGGCUGGCCCCUGCCUGUGGCCUGUCUUGAAGACGGAUGAGGCAGCGGUGCCGGGUCUGGGGGCCCCCGGGCUCCCUGCGGGGACCUCACUAUUGGGCUGGUAGAUUAGGUCUGGAUCACAGUUGACAUGCCACAGCAAAAAGCAAUGGCUGAGAGAGAGGGUAGAGUAUUUUUCUCUAGUUCAAAAAUGGAGCAGCCGACGUGACGAAGUGUUUGAGAUAAAGGAUAUGCAGUACAUACAGUAUCUAUGGCUGAAACAGUCAAAUAAUUGGUUAUUCAAAUCACAGAAAAUUAACAUCUCAAAGCCUCAAAGUGAACAACGACUCAUCCCAGCUUUUUAAAUAUGAGGAUUUGCCACUCCUCUCUGCUCUAAAUCAUCAGUCAUAAACUCAAUAUCCUCGGGUACUGGACUGUUGGUUGGGCAAAACAAGCCAUUUGAAGGUGUCACCUUGGCCUCCAUGAAAUGAGCUGUACACCUAUACACAUCAAUAUUGAUCAUGAAAAACCCAUGUACAGCUUUAGGCUUUUUAUUUGUAUUGUUUAGGCCAUUAGAGUAUAAUAAUAACAGAUCGUCUUUCCAGCUGUUUAAUAUUAUCACUGGAGAGACCAUAUUAGCAGCCACUCAAGCGACAGCAGCCCAUUUCCCCCACGCUCACCUCACCGCCCCCACCUAUUACUGCUUCCUUGAAGAUAUACAGCCAGCCAUAUACAUGCCAAUGAAUCACAGUCCUGCUCUGCACACGACACAUUGCCCUUGGAUAGGUGUUACUUCUCAAGCUCAAGGUCUAACAACGGGGUAAUUAUCGCUGAGAUAGAGGGGGGAUGUUGGAGGAUGUGUUUAGCCGGGGUGCGAGGGGGAUUACUUAAUUGCCGGACGCACGGCGCAGGAUCGAUCAUUCGGUGGGUUUUUUAAAGACAGAAGACGAAAGAAGAAGGUCAAUGGCUGGAUGUUAGAGAAAAGGACAACAAAGUGCUGUAUCUGAAGAAUGUAGAUCGAGAUAGGAGAAACAGGCUGGCAGCAGAGAGUCGUUCACUGUCACAAGUGACAAACAGUGGUCUGUCUGUAGCUCAAGAGAGGGUGUAGAUCUUUUCUUCACAGAUCAAUACAUCCUGCAGACGCCCCUGUCACAAGCCCGAGCCUGGUGUCUGCUUGUGUCUGAGUCUCCACCACGCGCCGUCCCCACAACUACCAUUCCUCUCCCGCGCAACUGCCCGCAGGCCUCACCAAAGGGAGAAGAACAUGCUCAAAACAACAAAGCUUAUACAGCAAGGACACCAGUGGGCUCCCAGCUGACGGAUCAGAGCUUUGAUCAUGAUUACAGAUUGCUGUGGCUCGGGGCAGGUGUCUUCCUGACUCAGCGACACCCUGCUGAGAGCCCAUCAAUAAGCAGUGGGAAGGAUGACUGUUUGAAUACUUUGCCUCAAUGACAACACACCUUUAAAUCCCUCUGAUACCUCUGUACAAGCUGUCUGCUUUGAAUUGUUGUUUUGUUCAGUUGCCUUCCAAGAAGGAGGAUGUUUGUGAAAUCCCAUGGGAGCUCCUGACUGGAUUUAAGAAAGGAAACUCUUUAUUUCUGUAAAGGAAAUCACAAACUCUUGCCCACACCCUACUUUAUGGGUCUAAUAUUUCAGCAGCAAAAACAACUUCACAGAGACUACGCUGAAAAUAUUUGCAAAGCAUCAGUGCCUUUCUCGUUUCAAGUUUUGAGUGGCACAUGUGGAGUGUAAAUGCAUCUUUGCAAACUGAAUGUAAACUGCCGGGGAGGGGGUAUUCUCCAUAUGCCAGUUGCCAGUAGCUGGCCGACAACUGCUCGGGAAAAAGUGUGCACACUCACACAUCUUUCACUGUGAAUGCCUCUGGAGGAUAGAGAACAAAGCUUGACCAGUAACCAUACAUUUGCCGUUUUGCUUUAGUCUGCACUUUCCUUUGGACUGAGAGCAUGAAGAAGAGGCAGAGAGCGUGAGAUUCACCCCACAUACACAUGAAAACUCCAAACCCUCUGACAUGCAGUCCUCUAAAAUAAUAAGCUGCCCGAUUUCUGUACAAACCCUUGACAUUUCGUUUUGGACUGUUUCUCUCUGCUGUUUUUGUGAAACCACUAUUUUUUAAUCGUGAAUUCCCUGUGAAUACAGUCAUAUAAAUACUUAAUUCAGUUAUAUGACUGUUGGCAGCUUAAAAGGGAAACUCCACCCAGAAACACUUAAUAGCAGCUGUGGUAAAGCAAUUAAAAAAAAAUUGCUAUUUUCAGUUCAGCUCAGAUGGUGUCUUUUUCUUUUUUUUUUUUUUUUUUUUUUUAUUCCUGCAGGUAACUGGCUAACAGCAUAUUGAACUAUAUUCAGUGCUGUUGUGCUGAUAGCAGGAAAGUCUUAAGUAAUGUAAACAUCCAAGGUUAACAUCAGGUUUUUGUUGCAGGCAAAACAGUGUAAGAUGAAGAGCUCCUAUUUGGAAAUUUUGCACCAGCAUUCAACACAGGCAGACAGAAAUCCACUGUAGAACAGACAGACAAACUAGCUUCUCCAACGGAGCAGACUGCAGAACAGCCACUUGAUUUUCAUUAAGAGGUGCAGCUCUUGCUUUGCAGUCUGAUCCAAAAGUUGGUGUAAUCAUACCGGAAGCAUCCGCCAAGAUACAUAAUAAAAACCCUGCUCAUAACCUAGAGGACAUUUCCAACACAGAUCAGCAGCCAGUGAGUCCAUAUGCUUUCCCUCUGUCUCUCUUGCUUUUUUGACAGGCAAAAUAAUGGAUAACUCAUCUUCAACUGCAUAGCCUGAGGAAGUGGAAGCUAAAUGAUCGCCAAGCUCCAGACAUGGUGGAGGCUAGAGGGGAAGAUGCUGAGAUAAUAAUGGGCAUUUACUGACCAAAACCCAGCAGGGUAUUGCAGGGUCCCUGUACACUGCACAGCUGUCUCUGCUUUUAUUGAUGUUUUGUACAUGCAGCAUGGGUCAGUUUACCGGAUGGCUCUCAGACUAACCUCGAUGUAUGUUUGUCAUUCGGCAAAGCUACUGUAUGACGGAUGUCAAACUCGCCAUCCUCUGUAAUAACCACCUCUGCCACCUCACAGCAGAGAGCUGAUGCAGUUACGGAGGCGGAAAGAAACAAUAUUGGGCAGCAUUUCAUUUCUGGGCCAGUCAACUGUGGGAGAAAGACAUCAGUAUAACAUCGAAUCACAAAUCAGAUAUCAAGCAGGCAAUCACAACAGUACAACCUAUGCUUUGUCCACUCAGCAGUGUGACUGACAGGCUGCACUGAGUUAUCAGCAGGCCUGAGCGCCUGUGACUUUUCGGCUUCUAUUAUCUCCCUCUUUGCACAUGACGAGCCAUUCAGCAUCCAUGCUCUCUGUUUGAGAGAAAAACACACACACACACAAGCACACACAAACACACACACACUCCGGCCAGCCACUUACUCUGUGGUUAUCUUCAAAUGUCAGAUGGUGAAGCACAUCAUGGUCAGGCUGAAACAUGUCGAGCAGAACAGCUCUGGAGGACUUCAGUUUCUGAACCUGCAGCUCUCACAAGAGAUUCAGCGAUGCCGACUUCUAACCUGCUAUCACUUUGCCAGAACAGCUCGGCUCAGCCAGCCACUGAAAGCAUGUUGUUAUGACAAGCAAUCAGCUGAAUCUCGUUUUAUUUGUGCAAUUUCGCCCCCGAAAUAAUCACAUCAAAUGCGUGCCUGCCUUGUGAAUGAGCCAAAUUCAAUUUAAAAAAGCCAUUCUGACAAUUUCCUAAUGAAAGCCAUAUCUUCAGUUUUCUUGCAUUUACGUGCUCCCGCAGAGAGACAGGAGGCAGCAGACGGCAGGGAGAGGAGCUGCCCUGAGGGGAAUGCCAACAAAGGACCAGCAUUUGAGUAGCACUAUCAGGACAGUCACGAUAGCGACACAUUCACUAAAUGAUCAAGUCUUAGCUGGCGGUGCAGGAGAUAAGUAGAUGUGAAUGAUAUCACCAGCAGCAGAGCAAUACACUUCAGCUCCUAAGGGCUUGGCUCCACAUAUAAUCACUCUGUAAUUACAAAUCCUCCAUUCUGCUUCACCUUAACAGGUGACACCCUUGUCUUUAGUCAUCUCUGUUAAAAGCCUUCUGGUUUCCUUCCAAUUUGCCCAUGUGAUGGUGCCUGGAUAGAAGUAGAGUUGGACUAUAACAGCAGGGUGUGGACAAUGUAAUGAGGUUCAUGUAUUUCAUAGAAAAAUCUAUAUAUUUUUUCAGAUGUUGGACACUAGAACUGCUCAGAUACUGCCAGGAAAAAAAAAUAAUUUGAUCCCAUUUUCGCUUUUCAAUGGAUUUAGAUUACUUUGUCUAGCAACGAUUUAUGUAUAAUGAAAGCCACAACACAAAGCAGACAAAUGAUGGUGGUCAGUGUUUGCAUUAUCUUGGAGCUAUUCACCGAAGAUUGGUGUUUUCAUUACAUUGGCGAGUCUAUAAAGCCGGAGAAUAACUCAUAUUUAAUCAUUUCGAUUCAUCCACACCACCAGCCGCUGGAGACACAGACUCACGAGCCAGUUCAAGCAAUAGCUGGAAUAUGUGAUGAUUAAAAAGCCCUGGGUUUAGUCACAGUAUGAUUCUAGAUGACAUGCAGAGAAACUUUCUGUAAUAUUAUGGCGUGACUGUAACCAGAGCCAGGUCGACAUUCCCAUGGUGACCCAGGGCAAGCCCGUGGGCCAUGAGCUGGCUUGUCGGACCUGGGAGAACAACACUGGGGAGGGGGGCUCAGACUGGUCCAGACCCAGAAUUAGAGCAGAGAGCAAAGUCACUCUGCUGGAUCAAAGAGUACCUUUGUUCCUUUGCUCCCUGUGGAAAGGAACAGAACUCUCAGCUUUCGCUUUCCGUUUGAGUUUUCUGUGACAUCUUGUUGCUGUUCGAGCAAAAAGAACACACACACGAGUCAAGCAAGAAGUAAGUGAAAACGGGAAAGAGAAUAUGUGACUAAUGGUAAUAAAGAGCAUGAAAGCAGCAGAGGAAGAGGCGGCGUGGGCAUGGCAGGGCAGAUUGUCUUGCUAAUGUUCUCUGCACUUGUAACAGGGCUGCAUUUUGGACUGAGUAGCUGAAAAUAUAUCCAGCCACUCUGUCUUAUGGCCAGUCAACAAGGUGCCAUUUCACUGUUGAGGCUUGACUACAGUCUGCUCGUGGAAGGCAAAAAUAGACUUCAGCAGAAUGGACUAUUAGCUAUCAGCAGAAUGGUAGUGUGUUAUUUCUUGAAUCUAAACGUAACUUGUAGCUUAACUUGUUUAUCUUAAGCAAUAGACCACUGACUGCUACAAGACUCUGGGGGGAUUUCUCUAAAUGUUGACCCUCCCUCUUCUCUCUUUCUUUCUCUCUUUCUCUCUCUCUCUCUCCAUGCCUCUCCUCUGGGUCUGCACCCCCCACUGCUGUGGAAACCAGAUCCUAUAAUGGGAAGAGCCCACCCAACUGCUGCUGACCAGCUGGAAUGAGAGUCUGGGAAGCAAAGCAAAACUGGAAUCACACUGCAUCGCCUUCAACCCAAACACUAAAACCUCCCCACUCUCCACCAGUACAGCCGUGGGCCACAAAAUGGAGAUUAUUGUUCAGCUUGUGUCAGCCUUAUAAAAACUGAGGCAUGGCACUCUUUUUUUUUUUUUUUCGGAGACAUAAUUUCAUGCGGCACAAUUACAGGGUUGUCAUUUUAUGAUAAUGACAGGAGUGACAUUUUGCUUAUUACUACGCCAAGGUGCCUUUGAUGGUGUGUUUCUGCGAGGCUACAAAAAAAGCCCACAAUGCACAUUCCACUCCCUCAAAUGAAGUCUUAUUUGUAUUGAUCACUAAACACAACAACACUCAUUCUCUCAAGGGUCUUGCCGCCUCUAAUUUAUAUAAGCUGAAUUCAUGGCAGAGAGAUCCUUACCUCUGUUAGCAUUCACAAUCACAAGCUAAAUAUAGAUUCCAGCCCACUGCUGUAAAGACAACAAAAGAAAAGCUGUAGAAUGUACUCAGUUCAAACACUUUCUCUGGUGCAACACAUGCAAGCGUGCUCAUUAAAAGCCUCUCAAAUUAAACUUGUAGUGGUGCUGGGGAUGGGGAAGUUGUGGGGGGGUGAGGGGGGCAGGGGGCAACAGAAUAUAUUUACCCCAAAUUCCCAGCAUUCCUUAAGGCAGACAGUAAACGCAAGCCCUAGCCCAAGCACACGGGACAUUAAUACACUUAGCCACAUGCAGGCUAAAUUACAGGCAUGCUCCCAAAAAAACAAAAAACAUUAAAAAAAACAGAUACAAGAAGCAGAAAAUUUCCCCUUUUAACUACUGUCACCAUGUCAGUAACAGACUACAGGCCACUCAUGACAGACAAAUGCAUGUGUGCAGGCAACCCCUGUCCUCCUCUGAUGCUGACCUUCAGCUGCCUUUUUACGCCACCUUCACCUGUCUUGCAGCCACAUGUGUUUGAGUGACCCACUGAGGGACAAAGCUCCUCUCCCAGAGCCGUACGCUGACCCUGAUCUAAUUCUCCCGGAGACACAGGCGACUCUUUUCCACACAUUACUUACCAUGAGAGCUCUGUUUCCUCAUGCAGCCCUUAAUGCUAUUCCUGGCCCAUCAGGAAUAAGAUGAAGGAGAUACUUGGACACAUUGAGUCAAAUUAAAUGAGAUGUCCACGAGUCAAAGUGGUGAAAAGGACAAAAAUAACUUGCUCCAAAGUGGGUGCUCACAUUGCCUCUUAGGGACGUUUGCAAUAUAAUGUAUCUUUGGUUUGAGGGUACAGAAACUAAAGACAGGCAAUUAUUGUGGAUUCUUUACCAAAAAUAGACUUCUCUCUUGGCUAUUCUAUACUGCCAUUUUAUUUAGAGAUCUGUCUCCAUACAUCCAUCCAGCCCAUAUUCUAUUUCCUCGCUGGCCUGCUAUCUGACCUAUGAGAAGGCAGCACAAAAGGAGUAUUGACCCCACAUUCCCCCUCACUAAGAAGAACAGGGUAUAAUUAACUGUAGUGUUAAAGGCACGGUGCCUCUGAGACUGUAAAACAGGGUAUGAAUACUGAGCAAACU